UAAAAAAUAUAGCUGCAAGCAGCAAUUACGGGGCCAAGCACUCCAGAGGCAAAUUAACGAGCUAAGCAUGGCAUGGACCAUCAGACCAAAUGCAGAAAGGAGUAACUGAAGCCAUUUUAGAAUGAUUGUAAUUGAAAUGGCGGAAAAAUCAUAAAUACAAGCACUAGUAUUAUGGUUAAAUGGCUUAUCACUUUUGACAAAUAGGUGGCGCUGUAAUCAAAUCAUUUUGGUGUGUUCUGUGUGAGGUGUCAAUGGCACACACAAAGUUUGGUGUCAGUAUUCCAAAGCAUUGCAGAGAUACAGGCUGAAGUGUCAUUUUGGCAUCAUGCCUGAAAUUCGUCGCUGUGGUAUGCGAAAACGGUUUUGUCUAUCAAUACAAAAUCCAUAACAUUUUGUCAGCACAGUCUGAAGAUCAUCUGAUUCAAUUUUGGUGAAAAUCGGACCAACGGUUGAUGAGGAGUUCGAAAAAGUAGGUUUUCAACAUAAAUCAAAAUGGCGGACAGGAAGUUCAGCGUACUCUGGCAUAUUUGGUAUCUAUGUUUUCGGCAUAAGCCACAGAAUAUUUUGAGACCAGUUUCAUUGCAAUAGGCUAAUGCAAUAAAAAGUUAUUAGCAUUUUUAUAAAUGUAAUUAUUAAUGGUUAAUGAAUGAUUUAUUACUCUUGACCAAUAGGUGGCGCUGUUACCAAAUUGAUGUGGCGUGAUCAAUUUGUGGUGACAAUGGCACAUGCAAAGUUUGGUGUAAAUAUGUCAAAUUUGUGCAGAGAUACAGCCUCAGAUACAUUUUGGCAUCCUUCCAGCAAAUUCGUUGGUGCGCUAAAUGAAAACCGUUUCGUAUAUCGACACGAAAUCCAUAACUUUUUGCCAGCAUCGUCUGAAGAUGAUCUGAGUCACAUUUGGUGAAAAUUGGACUAACGGUCUA
ensembl:lncRNA